AUAUAAUGUGCCAUAUUUUAAAUUAAGCGUAACAGUUACUAAAGACAGACAGUUUUCACUUUAGCUGUUUCCUGUAAAUGGAGAGGGAAGGAGCAACACUGGGCAUGUGAUCAGGUGACAACAGGCCCUCCCUGUUCAACCUGAAACUGAAAGUUCAGGAGUUCAGACUCCAUUUUAAGUGGACACAGCAGGAGGAAAACUGAAGGCUGAGGCAGGCCUAUAGGGAGACAGGCUGAGGUGUUGGAACACAGAGUGGAGACACUGUUAGCUGCACCAUCCAGUACAUGUAAAAUACAACACACCAGCUGAGCUGGAACAACAAGAACACCUGAACUGAAGUCCAGAAGAUGGAAGAGGAGGACAGAGCAGAGUCUGCAGGAUCCAGCUGUCUGUCUAUGAAGAGUGACCAGUCUAAAGAGUCUCCUCUGAGCUUCAGUCCUGAACCUGGAACCUCAGACACAAAGUAAGAGAACUGCUACUAACUCAUUCAGUGUUUGCUGCUAAUGUUUUGCUGUUUGCCAAUUGUAGAGUAACAUUAGGCUUCAUGAGCAAAGAAAUCACAUCUACAGCAGAUUUGCAUUUAAUUGAAUUGCGAAUAUGGUAUAUUCUCAAUUCAAUAAAAUGCAAAUCUGCUUUAUAGGAAUUUAAUGUAAAACAACUAAAAACAAUACUGC